rnacentral:rRNA from 1 species
ACUCCUACGGGAGGCAGCAGUAGGGAAUAUUGGUCAAUGGGCGAGAGCCUGAACCAGCCAUGCCGCGUGCAGGAAGACGGCCUUCUGGGUUGUAAACUGCUUUAUCAGGGAACAAAGGCCAUGCGUGGCAAAUUGCGUGUACCUGAAGAAUAAGGACCGGCUAACUCCGUGCCAGCAGCCGCGGUAAUACGGAGGGUCCAAGCGUUGUCCGGAUUUAUUGGGUUUAAAGGGUGCGUAGGCGGCCCUAUAAAGUCAGUGGUGAAAUCCUUCAGCUCAACUGGAGAACUGCCAUUGAUACUGUAGGGCUUGAGUACAGACGAGGUAGGCGGAAUUUAUGGUGUAGCGGUGAAAUGCAUAGAUACCAUAAAGAACACCUAUUGCGAAAGGCAGCUUACUAGACUGUAAACUGACGCUGAGGCACGAAAGCGUGGGGAGCGAAACAGGAUUAGAUACCCUGGUAGGCUCUGCU